rnacentral:rRNA from 1 species
UACAGAGGGUGCGAACGUUGCUCGGAAUUACUGGGCGUAAAGCGCGUGUAGGCGGAUCCAUAAGUCGGGCGUGAAAGCCCCAGGCUCAACCUGGGAACUGCGUUCGAAACUGUGGGUCUUGAGUGUCGGAGAGGAUGGCGGAAUUCCUGGUGUAGAGGUGAAAUUCGUAGAUAUCAGGAGGAACACCGGUGGCGAAGGCGGCCAUCUGGACGACAACUGACGCUGAGACGCGAAAGCGUGGGAGCAAACAGG